rnacentral:rRNA from 1 species
CCUACGGGAGGCAGCAGUGAGGAAUAUUGGUCAAUGGCCGGAAGGCUGAACCAGCCAUGCCGCGUGAAGGUCAGUGCCCUAUGGGCGUUAAACUUCUUUUGUGCGGGAGCAAUAAUGGUCACGUGUGGCCAGACGAGAGUACCGUACGAAUAAGCAUCGGCUAACUCCGUGCCAGCAGCCGCGGUAAUACGGGGGAAGCAAGCGUUAUCCGGGGUUAUGGGUUUUGAAGGGUGCGUAGGCUGUGAGGUAAGUCAGCGGUGAAAUGCCCCCGCUCAACGGGGUGAAGUUCCAUUGAUACUGCCUUGCUGGAAUGCGGAUGCCGUGGGAGGAAUGUGUGGUGUAGCGGUGAAAUGCAUAGAUAUCACACAGAACACCGAUUGCGAAGGCAUCUCACGAAUCCGCGAUUGACGCUGAUGCACGAAAGCGUGGGUAUCAAACAGGAUUAGAUACCCGGGUAGUC